GGUCUCUCUAAGUUGCUAAGGGUCUCACUAAAUUGCUGAGGCUGGCUUUGAACUUGAGAUCCUCUUGUCUCAGGCUCUCAAGCUACUGAGAUUACAGGCAUGCACCAGUAUCCUCAGCUGUUUGUUUUUAUUACUGUAGCAUAAUUUAGCCUACACCAACUGAUAAAGCGUGUGUUAAAAGUCCAAAAGCAAAAAAAGCAAAGGUAUCCAAAUGAAGAAAGUUAAAAUUAUCUCUAUUCACAAGUGAUGUGAUCUUACGUGUAAAGAAUCCACACAAAACAAAACAACAGUUACCUUGCUAUUAUUUGAAUGUCCUUACCAAAACUCAUGUUGAAAUUUGAUCUCCAGGGCUUGGGAUGUGGUUUAGGGGUAGAGCACUUGCCUCACAUGGUUGAGGCACUGGGUUCGAUCCUCAGCACCACAUAAAAAUAAAUAAAUAUACUGCGUCCAUCUACAACUAAAAAUAAAUGUUUAAUAAAAAAGAAAUUCGAUCUCCAUUGUCAGGUAUUAAGAAGUGAGACCUUGGGCUGGGGAUGUGGCUCAAGCGGUAGCACGCUCGCCUGGCAUGCGUGCGGCCCAGGUUCGAUCCUCAGCACCACAUACAAACAAAGAUGUUGUGUCCGCCGAAAACUAAAAAAAAUAAAUAAAUAUUAAAAAAAAAAAAAAAGAAGAAGUGAGACCUUUAAGAGAUGAUUAGCUGAUGAAGGCUCCACCCUCAUGAAUUGGUUAACCUAUUCAUGAAUUGAUGGGUUAAUGGGUUAUUUUAAGAGUGAGUCUGUUAAAGUUUGGGCUUAUCUCUCCUUAAGAUACCCAGUGCCACCUGAGGACUCUGCAGAGCCCCCAACAGCAAGAAAGCCAUCACCAGAUGUGAUCCUUCAACAUUGAACUUCUCAGGCUCCAGAACAAUAAAAAAUAAAUUUCUCUAUAAGUUAUCUGGUAUGUGAUAUUCAAUUAUAGCAACAGAAAACAGAUUAAGACAACUAAUAAACAAUUUCAGCAAAGUUUCAGGAUACAAAAUCAGCAUUCCAUUAUCAGUUGCAUUUCCAUUCAAUAACAAUGACCAAUCUGAAAAAGAAAGUAAAAAACAAUCCCAUGUCCUACAGCAUCAAGAAGGAUAAAACACUCAGGAAUAAAUCUGACCAAGGAGGUGAAAGAUUUGUAUAACAGUUCCCCCUUAUCCAUGAAGAUGUAUUCUAAGACCACCAGUGGAUGCUUGAAACCACAGUAG
rnacentral:lncRNA from 1 species